GUUAAGGACGAGCCUUGUUUCCUCUCAGCAGCCAUUGGAGCUGAGUAUUAGAGCCCUCUAGUGAGGUUUCUCGGAGUGGAUCCCGCCUCCAGCCCGUGGGGCCGAAGGAGCCUCUUUCCUUCCUCGGGGGAUCCGAAAUUCCCUUUGGUGCCGCAGGACACGGUGGACGGUUUGCUCCCUUUGGGAAAAGGCCCUCCGGAGCUCGGGUUCACCUGCGCCGCCGCCACCUGAGCGCCCCAGAGACGCCGGCGGUGCCGCUGGCCCGGGACCUCCCGGCCGCCGCCGCCGCUGCCGCUGCACCAAGGGGGCUGUGCUCGGUCCCCCCGGCGGGCAUCGCGCACCCACGGGGCGACAGGACUGUGGCCGAGCCCCCGGAGCUGUCUGCUGCCUGGGGAGGGAAGGCAGGAGCGAAGGGAGGGCUGCCUCUUCCUAAAAAUACUCCCCGGUCAAAUUCCUGUGAGCCAGGGAUGGAGAUGGUAACAAAAAUGCUCUGAAUCGGUAGGAACAGUGAACAAUCUUCGUGCUUUCCUCAUCAUCUUGGAAUAAUCAGCGGAAUUAACUGAGGUCGAGGAAACAGGCUCUUGGCUGUACACUGUGUGCCGAGAGAGUUCCCUCGCGCCGCGGAGCAUCUGAGGCGGUCCCCGCAGCCGGGAGUGGGGCGGAGGCUGACUGGCCACCGGCCCGGGCCCCCCUUCUGUUUCCCCUGGUCCUCCCCCCAGCCGAUUGUGGACUCCGUGGGAUCUGUGGGAACACCCCAAAUAAAUAUCCAUGCUGGGGUUAACGGCCGGGAGGGUGCUGUUGGCAGAACUGGGUAAAAACUCUCAACCCCUCGCCCUAGAUUGAGAAAGAAUAAUAUAAAAGUAAUCAGGACCGGCCGCAUUAAUCGUCUGGGGGGGCCAUCUUGUUUCGUGGGAGGCUCCGGAGGUUACAGCGCCUUGAGCUGGGGACACAGUGCCGCCCCCGGAGUCCCAUUUCACGGGGGGCGGCCGGGGGGCGGGAAGGUUCACCGAGGGCGACUCAGUCACGUCCCUUCAGGCCCCCAUCUCCUGAUUAAUACAUCUCUUUCGAAGGUGUUACUCGAGCAUCUCAGGUCUAGCCGGCGGGGAAAAGGCUCCGCGCUGGAGACGAGCGGCGGAGCUGCGGGAGCGGGGAGCGGGGCGGCUCCGUGGGGCAGAGGCUCCGCUCCCCUGGGCUCCCAGCAGAGUGCCCCAGUCCCCAGCACCCGCUCCGCGCCCCGCACCCACCAGCGUUCUCUUUCAAGCGGAGUUUGUUAGCAUAAUCGAGUUACCCGCUACAUAUCUGAAAUCCUUGACCCGUCCCCUUGAGGAACGGUGCAUUGCGCGCAGCAAAAGCUUUGAAUUAUUCCUUUCUCCCCAAACCAGGGAACAACAAGCAACUGUUGUUUGUCUUAAUUUAGUUGUGUGCAGUGAUCGUCUGCCGUGCUUUCUUUUUUCAGUCGAAACAGGAACUUAGUGCCAUCUUUGAUGGGAUAGAUUCGGGUUUUAAACAAAACUGAAAAAUAAAUAAAAGCGUGAAUAAAUAACGUGAGGGCGGAGGGAAAAACCCGCGGAUCCGGGUUGCAAAUUUGCCUCUGGGAAUCCCGGGUGAGCUUUUGCCGCCUAAAGAAGCCGUAGUCCCGCCACGGAAAAAAUAAAAACUUGUGAGCCCGGGGAAACUGAGUGAGCCCCAGAGUUGGACGGUAUGGGGCAGGUAGGCCCAGUAUCGCUGCAAAGGUAGCUAUGAUGCCUUUUUUAAAAAAAUAAAUAAAUAAAAGAAAAACCUAGCCGGAGUAGCAGCUUCAUUCUGGCAAGCUUUCGGUCUCAGUAAACCCCACAGGUCUUAAGGGGAAAGCAUAUUGCAGUCCCACCAAAAGGAAAGAAUUUUUUUUUUAAUUUUUAAAAAAUAUUUUAAAAUGAAGGAAAGAAAGAAACAAACAAAAACUUGGAGUUGCCUGUCAUUUUGGUUGCUCUCCCUACAGUCUUCGCCACGGUAGUGGACAUCUGCGGGGAAAUGUGUUUCUUUCUGGCACGUGGAAGUUGUAGUGUUUAUCAUUUGUUCGCUACCCCUGCCGAUAAAAGCGCCCUUGGAGGUGGCCCUGUCUCCCUGGCGAGCCCACGGCUGGCUGGCAGGAGCGGAUGUGUCCGCAGCUCUGUGAGAGUGGGUGACAGGUUUGUCCCGAACCCAACACGGUGAAAAGGAUGAGGGGCUCCGCAAAAGCAGCCGUCGAAGAGGCUGGGGAAAGGUGUCGGGCAGCUUGGGCGAAUCGGCUCCUGUGUUUGACAGGAGCAAUGCGGGCCUGCAGCUUCCCAUACAGGCUGUUGUUUACAAAGGGACGGGGAAGGCAGAGCCGAAAAGGCGAUUUCCAGACAACUGCAGCUCUACUUCAGCACUCAUUUGAGGGCACGGAACAGUUCCACGCAAGAAAAGGCGCCUCGAAGAAAACCGCCCGCCCACACCCCGUUCCUCAGCCAGACUGUGUCACAGCUAAUGGAAGGAGAGUCACAAUAAAAACCACCUUUUUAUUUAA